UACAGAGGUCCCAAGCGUUGUUCGGAUUCAUUGGGCGUAAAGGGUGCGUAGGCGGCGCGCUAAGUCGGGUGUGAAAUCUCGGAGCUUAACUCCGAAAUUGCAUUCGAUACUGGCGUGCUUGAGGACUGGAGAGGAGACUGGAAUUCAUGGUGUAGCAGUGAAAUGCGUAGAGAUCAUGAGGAAGACCAGUGGCGAAGGCGGGUCUCUGGACAGUUCCUGACACUGAGGCACGGAAGGCCCAGGGGAGCAAACGGG
rnacentral:rRNA from 1 species